GCCUACGGGGCGCAGCAGUAGGGAAUCUUCCACAAUGGGCGAAAGCCUGAUGGAGCAACGCCGCGUGGGUGAAGAAGGUCUUCGGAUCGUAAAACCCUGUUGCUAGAGAAGAAAGUGCGUGAGAGUAACUGUUCACGUUUCGACGGUAUCUAACCAGAAAGCCACGGCUAACUACGUGCCAGCAGCCGCGGUAAUACGUAGGUGGCAAGCGUUAUCCGGAUUUAUUGGGCGUAAAGAGAACGCAGGCGGUCUUUUAAGUCUGAUGUGAAAGCCUUCGGCUUAACCGGAGUAGUGCAUUGGAAACU
rnacentral:rRNA from 1 species